GGCGGAGUAGCUCAGUUGGUUGAGCGGCUGGUUGUUUUGAUCCAGUACAGGUCGCGGGUUCGAGUCCCGCUUCCGCCC
rnacentral:tRNA from 1 species